rnacentral:lncRNA from 10 species
CUUUCAGAUCAUUUCUAGCAGUGAAAUUCUUUGACACUGCACGGUUGAAAUUACUGAUAAAGAUCCACAGAAUUCUUACUCAAUAGAGAAAGCAAUGGGAGUUGAUGAGAAACCUCAGGAGAUAAGAUUAAAAGAAAACAAAACAAAACCAUCAACUGACUAACAGGAAGCAGCAAGGAACAAAGCUCACAGACGUCGCAGUCCAGUUCCCUCUGUCGCAGUCCAGUUCCCUCUGUGGAAGGCACCUGAUAACCAUCCUCAUGACUUGGUUUCCCCAUUUGUGAGAUUGCCUGCUGCCCAGCGGGCAACUGAAGUCCCAGGUCUUAGAACGACAGAUGCGCUGACUGCAAGAGUCUAUCGUGGAUGGAAAUGGAGUUUGUGUAUAGAGUCACUCUGUUGCUGCUGUCGGUACAGAUCGCUUCCCCAAGG